ACGCACGCUGGCGGCGUGCUUAACACCUGCAAGUCGCGCGGUAAGGCUCCUUCGGGAGUACACGAGCGGCGAACGGGUGAGUAACACGUGAGUAAUCUGCCCUUCACUUCGGGAUAACCACCGGAAACGGUGGCUAAUACCGAAUACGACCAGUCUUCGCAUGAGGUGCUGGUGGAAAGUCUUUUCGGUGAAGGAUGUGCUCGCGGCCUAUCAGCUUGUUGGUGGGGUAAUGGCCUACCAAGGCUUCGACGGGUAGCCGGCCUGAGAGGGUGACCGGCCACACUGGGACUGAGACACGGCCCAGACUCCUACGGGAGGCAGCAGUGGGGAAUAUUGGACAAUGGGCGAAAGCCUGAUCCAGCAACGCCGCGUGAGGGAUGACGGCCUUCGGGUUGUAAACCUCUUUCAGUACCGACGAAGCGCCCUGUCGGGUGGUGACGGUAGGUACAGAAGAAGGACCGGCCAACUACGUG
rnacentral:rRNA from 1 species